UGAGGAAUAUUGGGCAAUGCCCGCAAGGGUGACCCAGCAACGCCGCGUGGAGGAUGAAUGUCGUAAGAUUGUAAACUCCUGUUAGAGGGGAAGAAUAGUACCGGUUGGACCGGUAUAUGACUGUACCCUCAGAGAAAGCACCGGCUAACUACGUGCCAGCAGCCGCGGUAAUACGUAGGGAGCAAGCGUUGUCCGGAUUUACUGGGUGUAAAGGGCGCGCAGGCGGGAUAAAAAGUCAGUGGUGAAAUCCUACAGCUUAACUGUAGAACUGCCUUUGAUACUUUUAUUCUUGAGUUCGGGAGAGAGAGACGGAAUUCCAGGUGUAGUGGUGAAAUACGUAGAUAUCUGGGAGAACACCAGUUGCGAAGGCGGUCUCUUGGUCCGACACUGACGCUGAGGCGCGAAAGCGUGGGGAGCAAACA
rnacentral:rRNA from 1 species